rnacentral:lncRNA from 1 species
AUGCCAUUUUGUUAAUUGUUUUUUAACUAAUACAUCAUUUUUUUCCUUUCUUUCUCUCUUGCUAUCUUCUGUAAUUUGGUCAAUUUUUCAUGGUGGUUCCAAAUCAACUUUGCAAGGGAAAAACAAAGGCUCAGUUUCAGACCGGAAUCUAUACCAUCAACUCCCCAGCCAUCGAGCCUUUGAACUGUUCCAUUGACUUUUCUGGGUUUCUAGCCUGAAGAUGGCUGAUUGUGGGACUUCUCACCCUCCAUAGUCAAGUGAGUCAAUACCUUAUGAUAAAUCUCCUUAUAUAUACACAUUUGACCCUUCAACAA